rnacentral:lncRNA from 1 species
UUAUGAAUUAAACUUGUUUAUAUUAUUGUUCACAGUACUGUAGUUUAUUACUGUAGCAUAUGCACUGUGCAGUACUGUAACAAAAAUAUUGUGCAAUACUGUUGCAUACUGUAGUAUGUUACUAUAGCAUGAUGGUAAACCAUCCGAAUGCUACCGAGGCUAUGAAGUAAAUAACGGAUUAGUCUUAAGGAUAAAUAACCC